UUCGGGCUCCGCAGGCCUCGCCGGCCACGCAGGCCUCGCCCGCGCCGACUGGAGACCCCUUCGGCUCUUUUAUUCUGCAGUUGUGGCGUCGUUAGCGUUUAAGCUUGUUUGUGUGGGCUCUGGUGCAGCUGCCCCUUCUGCUGUGUGGGUUCUGUGCUGUGUUACUCUUUGGCAGAUGCCUAACAAAAGUGGCUGAUGUGGGCGCUCCUCAGAAGGCAGUGUGCUUGGCAGGCAGCUUCCACCUCCAGUAGGCACGCACAGCAGGUAAAAUUCUGUGUUUAGGAAAAACAAAUCUGGCUGGAGAGAUGGCUCAGUGGUUAAGAGCACUGACUGCUCUUCCAAGGGUCCUGAGUUCAAAUCCCAGCAACCACAUGGUGGCUCACAACCAUCC